GGCGGAGACAGGUGUAGGGGCGGGGCUUGGGGUAGGGGCGGAGACAGGUGUAGGGGCGGAGACGGGUGUAGGGGCGGGGUCUGGUAAAUGGGUGGGGCCUGAUGUAGGGGUCGGACCAGUUAUAGGGGCGGGGCCAGGUGCAGGAGUGGGGCCUGUUGAGAGGGCCAUGGCUGGGCCAGGUGUGUGUGGGAGACCAGGUGUAGAGGCGGGCCUUGUGCGUGGGCGGGGCCUGGAGUGACUGGGGAGCAGGAGGGGGCGGGCCUUGAAUCCUUAUGGCUGGUGGUCCAUGAUGAUUGACAGGUGGGGGGGCUUGUUGGAAGGGAGAUGCUUGGUGAGGGGCAGGAGCCUGAUGGGGAGGGGCUUUUAGAACGACCGACUGAGCAGCCUGAGGAAGGACUGGGGGAGGGGCUUGGCGUGGGGGAGGG
ensembl:lncRNA